CUUCAAAGAAAAGGGAUUUUAACCCCUACCCUUAGCUCCCAAAGCUAAGAUCCUAACUU
rnacentral:tRNA from 1 species